CCCUCCUUCUUAAACCCACCCAAACUCCCCCCUCGAGUCUCCAAAAAUCACUGCACUUUCCAUUCGCCGUGGAGCUCCAGCAGAGGUGAAGUUCAGCUCUCCUCCUCCUCCUCCUCCUCCUUCAUCAUGUGCACGGAAUAACACGCAUCCAGGCCUCGUGUUUCAUUAGCAAACAUGCCGAGGAAGGAUUUGCUGGAUGUGAUUUCUAAAGAGGAUCUCCGUUUGGCCAUUUCACGUCCAGAUGAGCGGAGCAUUGGCCUGCAGGAAGAUGUGAAGGCAGCACUGCUCAUCAGGCUGAUGCAACAUGAGGUCUGCAGAAGAAUGGAAGAGAGAGGGGAAUCAUGGGAAGGAUUUCAGAGCGGUAAAAUAUGUAAUAUAUUGUACAUAAGUGAAAUAAAUAUGUGUUAUAUAUGUGUAAUAUUUACAGUAUGCAUGUAAUCAUGUCCAAAAAGUUUUAAUAAAAUUUCCUUUUGAUCCAGA